rnacentral:rRNA from 1 species
CCUACGGGUGGCUGCAGUCGAGAAUCAUUCACAAUGGGGGAAACCCUGAUGGUGCGACGCCGCGUGGGGGAAUGAAGGUCUUCGGAUUGUAAACCCCUGUCAUGUGGGAGCAAAUUAAAACGAUCGUACCACAAGAGGAAGAGACGGCUAACUCUGUUCCAGCAGCCGCGGUAAUACAGAGGUCUCAAGCGUUGUUCGGAAUCACUGGGCGUAAGGCGUGCGUAGGCUGUUUCGUAAGUCGUGUGUGAAAGGCGCGGGCUCAACCCGCGGACGGCACAUGAUACUGCGAGACUAGAGUAAUGGAGGGGGAACCGGAAUUCUCGGUGUAGCAGUGAAAUGCGUAGAUAUCGAGAGGAACACUCGUGGCGAAGGCGGGUUCCUGGACAUUAACUGACGCUGAGGCACGAAGGCCAGGGGAGCGAAAGGGAUUAGAUACCCGGGUAGUC